UUUGCGUGCGGGGCGUUGAGAUGCUCGAAGCAGAGAAUAAUUGCAAAGUGACUCACGCUCGCCCAAGGACCGGGGCACGAGAUGCUGGUGCUCCAGUUGCGUCCCGUUCACCGGCGGAUCUGCAACGGAAAAACAGGACCGAUUAAUAUUACCGUCGGGUAAACACUGAUUUUUUUCUAGCUUCUUUAUGCAGCCCGAAAUUGAUUAACGGUUCAGCAGCGCGGCGAAGUGUGCUCCAUCUACCAGCGUUUAGGCGAGCCGAAUACAGCGAAUGUUCCGAUCACUGUGUGUCAAGGUGACAUAACCCAUUUUCUUUUGAAUGCAACAGCGCAGCUACAAUUCCAAAUUAGAUAUAGGUUAUGUCUACGAUCAAGCGCGCGGCUCGUCGAAAACUGCACCGUACAGGUUAAGCUUCGCGGCCGGAGAAUUUUCUCGGAUCAGUUACCAACAACUGGAACGUAUUUAUUCGAGAGAGAGAGAGAGAGAGAGAGAGAGAGAGACACAGUUACUCGCUGAACUAUUCGGACACCUUUCAGUAAGCUGAAUGGAAUUCUGUAAUAAUGUACAUAAUAAUUGGGAAAAUUACGAAAUAUAUAAACAAGGUACACUGAUAUAUUUAGGCCAAAUCGAAUAUAACUGUCAGCAGUGUAAUUAUCGCUCCUCCUCCACGGCGAUUUAAAGGAAAACGUAGCAAUGAUUUUCCGUGGACUAAGAAAGACCGUAGAAAAUCGGCGGAUCUACGGAUACAUGGAUCGCGUUGAAGUAUUCGAUCGAAGAGAAUCCAAGACCGAGAUCGAGAGGACCAAGAGGACGCCGAAAGGCUGAGGAAUCUCCGAACGGAGAGUCGUUUAAGGCGGGGUGCACGUCCCCCGUCGUCGACAGGGUUUCAUCGACCAAUCGGUGCCGGGGUGGAGCUUAAGCUGGCCGACGCGUCGGUGUCAGCACCUCUUCUAUUUCGCGAAGGCCUCCCUCUGUCUCACCUACAUUCGCGCCCUCUUAUCUCCUCUCUCAUUUUCCCCGCCCGGCCACCCCCGCGUCCCACCCCCCCCCCUUCCCGCGACCGCUCCGCGUACUUGCACAAGGUUCGCAGGGCAUUUCCAACGCUCUCGUCGACGAUGCCACUGCCGCUGCCGAUCAAAAUCACCGAUACGCGAUUCUCUCUCUCGCUACUCCAGAUUCUCUACUCUCGGCGCGAUUCGCGCUGCUCGAGCGGCACGACGCGUUCGAAAUGGGACUUCUCGAAGUAGCAAAUACAAUUCUCUGUACGAGCUGCAAUACUUCGUCAUUUCAGAGUUCAAUGGGAUAGGAAAUCAGAAAUGUUGGUGGGAAAAACACCGGUCAAACGAAUUUAUUUAAAAUUAUAUUAUGUACAUU